rnacentral:lncRNA from 1 species
GAAUUUUCAUGUCUCAUUAAGAGAGAUCAUGUGGAUUUCCUCUGUCAUAAAAACUACAAAUUCAGCAUGAAAUCUAAUCACCACAGAAUAAUAUUCUGGUGUCAUUUUUAUAAUUCUGAGUAAAAGCUGGAGGUUUUCAAAUUUCUAAACCCUGCUGGACAGAAGGCAGUUUUCCAAGCAGGGUUCGGCCAUGCUAACUGUUGAAUAGGAAAACUAAUUAGCAUCCUGUGUGAAUUAUCUUGUCUUUUUUUUUUUUUUUUUUUUUUUUUUUUUUUUUUUGGGACCGGAAAUCAAAUGGGAAGGGUUCCCUCCUGUUCCAAGUGAGUUCCAGAAGAAUUACUCAUGCUCCUUAACCUAUGAGUCAGACAGGAGUCUAGGAGAGUGUUUCCAAAACAGGCCGACAAUAAGAUAAACAAAGCAAUUGAUAUGUGACAGUGUGGAGAAGCAGGGUUGCAAUUGGCCAAAGCAAGUGAUGGGGUCUAGAGCAAGAUGACAGCAAGCAAACCCAGGAUGGCGGCACGGCCCCAGGGACACUCUGGAGGACCAGAGCUCUGCACACCAGCUUAGAGCAUUUCCUGAAAUAUUCUGCCUUUGGAAAAGCUCUGCAGUGAAAACAGGGUUUGCAUUUUGUCUCCUGCCUCAUUCCAAAAUGGAUUUGAAGCAGUUAAAUACGAGCCGAGCUGUGCCAGAAGAGAUGACGAGGAUUUGAAGAUGAGCAAUCACAGUUUUGAUCUUCGUGACCAGCUCACUCAGGUGUGCAGAUGGCAGCACAGUAUUCCAGCCAAGAGAACAAGGUCAGCAGAAGAUGAAUGAUGCAGGGGUUUGUGUGCGAUCACAAGCCCAUAGCCAGCUAUUCCGUAAGCCUGGGCUUCGGUCUCUCCGAGCCCCCAGCGGUUAAGUCCUGUGCUCAGCCUGUACCGAAAGCAUCUCCAGCCACAGAUGCCACUGCCACCUCUGGUCAGCACCCGGCACAGUCCACAGCACCAUGUAGGCGGUCAGGUAAUGUUUGUUGAAUGAAUGUCUAACCCAAGAUAUGCAUAC